rnacentral:rRNA from 1 species
UACGUAGGGUGCAAGCGUUGUCCGGAAUUAUUGGGCGUAAAGAGCUCGUAGGCGGUUUGUUGCGUCGGCUGUGAAAAUCCGGGGCUCAACCCCGGACUUGCAGUGGGUACGGGCAGACUAGAGUGUGGUAGGGGAGACUGGAAUUCCUGGUGUAGCGGUGAAAUGCGCAGAUAUCAGGAGGAACACCGAUUGCGAAGGCAGCUCGCUGGAACGUUACUGACGCUGAGACGCGAAAGCGUGGGGAGCAAACAGG